GUGCCUGUAGCUCAGCAGGAUAGAGCAACGGAUUUCUAAUCCGUAGGUCGCAGGUUCGAAUCCUGCCAGGCACA
rnacentral:tRNA from 1 species